GUGCAGCAGUCGAGAAUUUUUCUCAAAUGGGGGCAACCCUGAAGGAGCGACGCCGCGUGGAGGAUGAAGGCUUUCGGGUUGUAAACUCCUGUCAUUUGAGAACAAGUGGCCGAACCUAACUACUUCGGCCUUGAUAGUAUCAGAAGAGGAAGGGACGGCUAACUCUGUGCCAGCAGCCGCGGUAAUACAGAGGUCCCAAGCGUUGUUCGGAUUCAUUGGGCGUAAAGGGUGCGUAGGUGGCGCCGUCAGUGGGGUGUGAAAUUUCGGAGCUUAACUCCGAAACUGCAUUCCAUACUGCGGUGCUUGAGGACUGGAGAGGAGACUGGAAUUUACGGUGUAGCAGUGAAAUGCGUAGAGAUCGUAAGGAAGACCAGUGGCGAAGGCGGGUCUCUGGACAGUUCCUGACACUGAGGCACGAAGGCCAGGGGAGCGAAAACGGGAUUAGAUACCCCCGUAGU
rnacentral:rRNA from 1 species